GCAUGUUCUCGAGAGAAGAGCCCAGGACUGGAAUCAGGAACCUCAUGGAUGGACAGAGAAACAGCAUGAAGGAUGAAACAAGCACCUUUAUAACAACCCCCAGGUUCCUUGGAAUGGAGAUGGUCUAGAAAAUGAGAUAUGAAUAUGCACUUCAUGAUUAUAAAAACAGCCCUCAUUAUUGGAGCAGAGUGACGUCUCCAUGGGACCAA